GGGGGAGAGGGGGGCUCCCCUAUGAUUAAUGACCGGUCCCUAACAGAGUAAAAUGAUCUAGUGGGGUUUGUUGGGAAGCAUUGCAGCAUAAUGGGUUAACUCGAACUGUGUGCAGGAAAGGAUACAUUCUCAUUCCCAAAGCCUUUCUUAUGCAUGGUCACGAUAAGGGGGUUCUGGCCAAAUCUAUAACUGGUAGCAGAGAAAUCUGCCAGUCAUAAACCUCAAUAAUAUGCAUGUGCCCAAUCACACACCUCAAUGGAAUGGAUUUGGCCAGAUACAUCUUGUCGUGACUGUGCUAAAGAUAGGCUCUGGGAAUAAGAAUGAAAAUAGUAUUGCAGGUCCGCAGGUUAAUGG